rnacentral:tRNA from 2 species
GGGCGGGUAGCUCAGCUGGUUAGAGCGCGACACUGAUAAUGUCGAGGUCGGAGGUUCAAGUCCUCCUUCGCCCACCA